rnacentral:lncRNA from 1 species
AUGAUGCUUGUUGAGGGCUUACUGUGUUCCAGACACAGUCGCGUUACGCGCUGUACUUAUUUCAUUUACGUCAUUUACCAUUAUUUUUCCCCUUUUAUAGAUAAGGACACAGGCCCAGAGAGGUUAAAUGACUUUUCCCAGGAUACACAACUGCGAAGCAGUCGAGUUGGGGUAGACACCAAGGCUUCACUGACAGCAGCACUGGCGCUGGACAAUCGACCUGCCUCGGAUGGCCCUACUCAGAUAAGACCCCCACUCUCCAACCGGGCCUUCCCUGUUAGACGCCUUGUUCCAGCAGGAGCAGAAGAGACCUCAGCAGCUGGACUAGGAACCCCACAUUCCCGCGACCUCCCAGGACCAACAGCAGAGGCUGAGGAGGGGUCUCCCCUGAUGGCGUGGCCACCUGGCCAGCUGUGUGGACAGCCACGCCUGCAGUCCCAGAUGCCACCCCAGCUUGGAGCACAUCAGAGGCCUCUGAGCACCGGGCCGUCUGGUGGCCACACGCCACAAGUCAGGCCCCCAAGGCAGGUCGGCGUCACUUGA